AGAUUGAACGCUAGCGGGAUGCUUUACACAUGCAAGUCGAACGGCAGCGCGGACUUCGGUCUGGCGGCGAGUGGCGAACGGGUGAGUAAUAUAUCGGAACGUGCCCAGUAGCGGGGGAUAACUACGCGAAAGCGUGGCUAAUACCGCAUACGCCCUACGGGGGAAAGGGGGGGAUUCUUUCGAGAACCUCUCACUAUUGGAGCGGCCGAUAUCAGAUUAGCUAGUUGGUGAGGUAAAGGCUCACCAAGGCGACGAUCUGUAGCUGGUUUGAGAGGACGACCAGCCACACUGGGACUGAGACACGGCCCAGACUCCUACGGGAGGCAGCAGUGGGGAAUUUGGACAAUGGGGGAAACCCUGAUCCAGCCAUCCCGCGUGUGCGAUGAAGGCCUUCGGUUGUAAAGCACUUUGGUCAGGAAGAAACGGACGCCGCCUAAUACGGGCGUCACGUGACGGUACCUGCAGAAUAAGCACCGGCUAACUACGUGCCAGCAGCCGCGGUAAC
rnacentral:rRNA from 1 species